rnacentral:snRNA from 1 species
UUCCCAAUGGAACACACCACCGA